AGGGCUCUAGGGUUGUUUUAUCACAGGGACCGAUGUAAGUGUGGCUGAAUUCGGUCGGAAACGGCCGAAAACAGCCAACCCGAGGCGAAUCGCCGCCGUGCCGGAAUUGCGAUAUUGGCCGAAAGGGGCCCUGGGUCUAAUUUGGGAAUUUUUUUGGAACACGUGCAGGUACCAGUAGUGCGUUUCAAUUCUCCGGGAAAAAUUCAGGGAAAAUUAAGGACAGCCUGUAGGCGCACUGUAAAGCCGUGUUC
rnacentral:lncRNA from 1 species